rnacentral:rRNA from 1 species
UAGAGAAAUUCAUCAAUUAUGAUUUUAAUAUUUUUUAUAAUAUUAUAAUAAUGGUGUGCAUUUUUUCUAUAAAAGGACAUUGUAAUCUAUUAACAUAAAUUAAUAUUUAUCAUAAGAUCAUUUCGCGUAAGUUUAUUCAAAUUAUUUUGCUUGCAAUUUAAUAUCGAAUAAAUGCAUUUGAUUUGAUAAAGUGUUGAUAGAUUUAUUAUAUAUAGUGCUUAAAUAUAUAAUAUAUAUUUUAUAAUAGCAUAUAAAUCAAUGAUUUUUAUGUUUAUUUAUAUGCACUUAUAUGAUUAACAAUGCGAAAGAUUCAGGAUACCUUCGGGACCCGUCUUGAAACACGGACCAAGGAGUCUAACAUAUUUGCAAGUUAUUGGGUAAUAAAACCUAAUAGCGAAAUUAACAUAACUUUAAUAAUGGGAUUAGUUUUUAGCCUAUAUUAAUAGUCUAUUAAUUCAAAUCCCGGGGCGUUCUAUACAGUUAUGUAUAAUAAUAUUUAUAUUAUUUAUACCUCUAACUAGAGCGUACCUUGAGCAUAUAUGCUGUGACCCGAAAGAUGGGUGAACUAA